rnacentral:rRNA from 1 species
UACGUAGGGUGCAAGCGUUAAUCGGAAUUACUGGGCGUAAAGCGUGCGCAGGCGGCUUUGCAAGACAGAUGUGAAAUCCCCGGGCUCAACCUGGGAACUGCAUUUGUGACUGCAAGGCUAGAGUACGGCAGAGGGGGAUGGAAUUCCGCGUGUAGCAGUGAAAUGCGUAGAUAUGCGGAGGAACACCAAUGGCGAAGGCAAUCCCCUGAGC